ACAGGGGUGGCAGAACGGAAGCCAA
rnacentral:misc_RNA from 1 species